rnacentral:tRNA from 1 species
AGCUUCGUGGUGUUCAACACAUUGGAUUGCAAAUCCGAAGACGCAGGCUAAUCCCUGCCGGGGCUU